GCAGAGUCGUAGCCGAGCGGUUAAGGCGAUGGACUAGAACUCCAUUGGGAUCUUUCCGCGUAGGUUCGAAUCCUACCGACUGCG